rnacentral:rRNA from 1 species
CAGGAUGAACGCUAGCUACAGGCUUAACACAUGCAAGUCGAGGGGCAGCAUGGGAUUAGCUUGCUAAUCCUGAUGGCGACCGGCGCACGGGUGAGUAACGCGUAUCCAACCUUCCCCCUACUCAGGCAUAGCCCGGUGAAAACCGGAUUAACUCCUGAUAGUUUCACUAGAUGGCAUCUGACGGUGAAUAAAGCUCAGCGGUAAGGGAUGGGGAUGCGUCUGAUUAGCUUGUUGGCGGGGUAACGGCCCACCAAGGCUACGAUCAGUAGGGGUUCUGAGAGGAAGGUCCCCCACAUUGGAACUGAGACACGGUCCAAACUCCUACGGGAGGCAGCAGUGAGGAAUAUUGGUCAAUGGGCGCGAGCCUGAACCAGCCAAGUAGCGUGCAGGAAGACGGCCCUAUGGGUUGUAAACUGCUUUUGUGCGGGAAUAAAGUCAGGGACGUGUCCCUGUUUGCAUGUACCGCAAGAAUAAGGACCGGCUAAUUCCGUGCCAGCCGCCGC